rnacentral:misc_RNA from 1 species
GAGAAAAAUUGAAAAUCUUUUUUAAUAAAUUCUUUUACAUUGUCCAAGUAUUUUGUAUAUGUCUCCAUAAAUUUGAUUACAUUGUGGCUAUUGUUGCUUGGGUGAGCGAUGUGGCCCAUGGACAUCUUUGUUGAGGUGGAUUUACUUUGUAUUUUCUUAUGAACAUUGUUUCACUAAAACCACCCAUUUUAUAUUUCAGUUCAUGUUCAUUUUGUAUAUUCGCUGUAUCUAUGUAGUGUUCUUUUCAAAUAAUUUCCGUUCAUUUAAAUUUUCAAAAAGCUGUAUCAUAACAAUUAUAAUUGUUUGUAAGUUGUUUUUUGUAUUCAACAUUAAACUUUUUGAUAAAUGGGUAUUUUAAGGGAAAAAAUCCCAAAAUACUUAUGAUUAUGUGGAUAAACACAAUGUAGGUUUGGCAAUGCAAAAUUCGACGGCAAUCAACUAAAACUGUAUAAAUAGGUUACUAUGUGUUGCAUAAAGUUCUUGUAGUCGUAAAUGUAACAUAUAAAGGGGUACCCGUGCCGUGAGCAGUGCUUAGUAGUCAGUACCUAGUACUGAAAGUGUGUUUACUGCUACCAACAGAAAUUCAAUAAGAAAAAGUCAUUUAAAAAAUAGGAAAAACUGCAAAUCCUCUGUAUGAAGAAAAGCAACUCUCAUGCUUUCUUUUUGAUUUUAUAUUGUUUGUUCCACGAUAAUAGAUGUUGGUGUGUUAUAACAUUGGACCUUUACAAUUAAAAUUUCAGAAACUUG